rnacentral:rRNA from 1 species
GAGUAACACGUGAGUAACCUGCCCCUGACUUCGGGAUAAGCGCUGGAAACGGCGUCUAAUACCGGAUAUGAGCCGUCCUCGCAUGGGGGUGGUUGGAAAGUUUUUCGGUCAGGGAUGGGCUCGCGGCCUAUCAGCUUGUUGGUGGGGUGAUGGCCUACCAAGGCGACGACGGGUAGCCGGCCUGAGAGGGCGACCGGCCACACUGGGACUGAGACACGGCCCAGACUCCUACGGGAGGCAGCAGUGGGGAAUAUUGCACAAUGGGCGAAAGCCUGAUGCAGCGACGCCGCGUGAGGGAUGACGGCCUUCGGGUUGUAAACCUCUUUCAGCAGGGAAGAAGCGCAAGUGACGGUACCUGCAGAAGAAGCGCCGGCUAACUACGUGCCAGCAGCCGCGGUAAUACGUAGGGCGCAAGCGUUGUCCGGAAUUAUUGGGCGUAAAGAGCUCGUAGGCGGUUUGUCGCGUCUGGUGUGAAAACUCGAGGCUCAACCUCGAGCUUGCAUCGGGUACGGGCAGACUAGAGUGCGGUAGGGGAGACUGGAAUUCCUGGUGUAGCGGUGGAAUGCGCAGAUAUCAGGAGGAACACCGAUGGCGAAGGCAGGUCUCUGGGCCGCAACUGACGCUGAGGAG